rnacentral:rRNA from 1 species
GAUGAACGCUGGCGGCGUGCCUAAUACAUGCAAGUCGAGCGAACGGACGAGAAGCUUGCUUCUCUGAUGUUAGCGGCGGAUGGGUGAGUAACACGUGGAUAACCUACCUAUAAGACUGGGAUAACUUCGGGAAACCGGAGCUAAUACCGGAUAAUAUUUUGAACCGCAUGGUUCAAAAGUGAAAGACGGUCUUGCUGUCACUUAUAGAUGGAUCCGCGCUGCAUUAGCUAGUUGGUAAGGUAACGGCUUACCAAGGCAACGAUGCAUAGCCGACCUGAGAGGGUGAUCGGCCACACUGGAACUGAGACACGGUCCAGACUCCUACGGGAGGCAGCAGUAGGGAAUCUUCCGCAAUGGGCGAAAGCCUGACGGAGCAACGCCGCGUGAGUGAUGAAGGUCUUCGGAUCGUAAAACUCUGUUAUUAGGGAAGAACAUAUGUGUAAGUAACUGUGCACAUCUUGACGGUACCUAAUCAGAAAGCCACGGCUAACUACGUGCCAGCAGCCGCGGUAAUACGUAGGUGGCAAGCGUUAUCCGGAAUUAUUGGGCGUAAAGCGCGCGUAGGCGGUUUUUUAGGUCUGAUGUGAAAGCCCACGGCUCAACCGUGGAGGGUCAUUGGAAACUGGAAAACUUGAGUGCAGAAGAGGAAAGUGGAAUUCCAUGUGUAGCGGUGAAAUGCGCAGAGAUAUGGAGGAACACCAGUGGCGAAGGCGACUUUCUGGUCUGUAACUGACGCUGAUGUGCGAAAGCGUGGGGAUCAAACAGGAUUAGAUACCCUGGUAGUCCACGCCGUAAACGAUGAGUGCUAAGUGUUAGGGGGUUUCCGCCCCUUAGUGCUGCAGCUAACGCAUUAAGCACUCCGCCUGGGGAGUACGACCGCAAGGUUGAAACUCAAAGGAAUUGACGGGGACCCGCACAAGCGGUGGAGCAUGUGGUUUAAUUCGAAGCAACGCGAAGAACCUUACCAAAUCUUGACAUCCUUUGACAACUCUAGAGAUAGAGCCUUCCCCUUCGGGGGACAAAGUGACAGGUGGUGCAUGGUUGUCGUCAGCUCGUGUCGUGAGAUGUUGGGUUAAGUCCCGCAACGAGCGCAACCCUUAAGCUUAGUUGCCAUCAUUAAGUUGGGCACUCUAAGUUGACUGCCGGUGACAAACCGGAGGAAGGUGGGGAUGACGUCAAAUCAUCAUGCCCCUUAUGAUUUGGGCUACACACGUGCUACAAUGGACAAUACAAAGGGCAGCGAAACCGCGAGGUCAAGCAAAUCCCAUAAAGUUGUUCUCAGUUCGGAUUGUAGUCUGCAACUCGACUACAUGAAGCUGGAAUCGCUAGUAAUCGUAGAUCAGCAUGCUACGGUGGAUACGUUCCCGGGUCU